UUAAAUAGUUGAAAAUUGCGGUCUAUUUUGAUAAAUUUUCCAAUAAUUUAAAGUGCGGUGUAUUUUGAUAAAUUUUCCAAUAAUUUAUUUAGG
rnacentral:tRNA from 1 species